UGACGGUACCUGGAGAAAAAGCAACGGCUAACUACGUGCCAGCAGCCGCGGUAAUACGUAGGUUGCAAGCGUUGUCCGGAUUUACUGGGUGUAAAGGGCGUGUAGGCGGAGCUGCAAGUCAGAUGUGAAAUCCCGGGGCUCAACCCCGGAACUGCAUUUGAAACUGUUUCCCUUGAGUAUCGGAGAGGCAAGCGGAAUUCCUAGUGUAGCGGUGAAAUGCGUAGAUAUUAGGAGGAACACCAGUGGCGAAGGCGGCUUGCUGGACUACAACUGACGCUGAGGCGCGAAAGCGUGGGGAGCAAACAGGAUUAGAUACCCUG
rnacentral:rRNA from 1 species